rnacentral:rRNA from 1 species
GACGAACGCUGGCGGCGUGCUUAACACAUGCAAGUCGAGCGGUAAGGCCCUUUCGGGGGUACACGAGCGGCGAACGGGUGAGUAACACGUGGGUGACCUGCCCUUAGCUCUGGGAUAAGCCUGGGAAACUGGGUCUAAUACCGGAUAUGACUCCAUGACGCAUGUUGUGGGGUGGAAAGCCUUGUGCGGCUAGGGAUGGGCCCGCGGCCUAUCAGCUUGUUGGUGGGGUGAUGGCCUACCAAGGCGACGACGGGUAGCCGGCCUGAGAGGGCGACCGGCCACACUGGGACUGAGACACGGCCCAGACUCCUACGGGAGGCAGCAGUGGGGAAUCUUGCGCAAUGGGCGAAAGCCUGACGCAGCGACG